rnacentral:rRNA from 1 species
UACGUAGGGUGCAAGCGUUGUCCGGAAUUAUUGGGCGUAAAGAGCUCGUAGGCGGUUCGUCGCGUCGGCUGUGAAAUCCCGAGGCUCAACCUCGGGUCUGCAGUCGAUACGGGCAGACUAGAGUUCGGUAGGGGAGACUGGAAUUCCUGGUGUAGCGGUGAAAUGCGUAGAGAUCGGCAGGAACACCCAGGGGGAAACCAGUCGACUGGGCAGCACCUGACGCUGAGGUGCGAGAGCGUGGGGAGCGAACCGG